rnacentral:lncRNA from 1 species
CGACUGUGGUAAAAAAAAUGUUGCAAGCGGCGACUGCGGGGGAGGAACCGGCCGAGCGGCGCGCCGCCACCACCUCCGCCAGGACAGGGAGCAGCUCAGCACGGACUUCCAAAGCCCUAAUUCCACAGGUGCCCUUACCUUCCGCUCACCAUCUCUUCCUGCAUUCCCUCCCGCUGCCUCCUUCCCGGGCGCCGACCCGCGCUCGCUGCGGCCUGCCGGAUCUCCGGCCUCCGGCACCCACCGGAGCGGUUUAGGCCGUUUAAACUUUAAAGUCGCCCAAAUCACCAGGCGCAGAUAAUCCUAUGCGAAGCUUCCAGUUAAUGGUAUCUGGGGAGUGGGGAUUGAUGCUAGUACUGACUAGGUUGUGGCCGACCGCGAUUUCAAUCCACGGUUGCUGUGCGAUGGGUUGUUUAUCGGUAUGCUCCCCAUCCUGCCAUCCGCGCCGCAAGACUAAACUACAUGGUGUUACUUAAGAUCAUGAUUCAAUUACAAGGCCAAAAUUAUCGAGUCCCAGGAUCUGCAGUGAAUUGGUCCCAUUUGGACUGCUCAAUACAUUGCCAAACAAAACACACGGUUGGGUUUGAACUUUAAGGGUAUGGAGUUUGGUGCCAAGCUUUUAACGCAGCACUAGGAUCAUAUGUGCACAAGUGGUACGUAUAACAUUUCAUAUUGAAUCAAAAAGUAGGUUGGUCUUCUUCUUCAAUAGCGUUAUCUAUACCAUUUCACGUGUCUUCAGGAGUUCUCCUCAAUGACCGGUCUGGUAGGGCCCUUCAGCUCGGGUCUGUUGUAUCCAUGCUGAGCUUAUGAUAAUGUUGCCUUGGUAGUUUAUGCUAAAAACUGACGUUCUGGAACCAGGUGGAAUAGUACAGAAACGUCCACAAUCAAUUAUUUACAAACAUUUCACGAGAAAGCAAUAGCCAUUACUAGUGUCUAGUGGUAACAAAGCAGGCGAUAAAUCACAAAAUGUGACGAUAUGAUAUGAUUACACUAUCCUUUCUUUUCACUACAAAUGAAAAAUUGUUCAUUCAAAAAAGACAGUACAUAUCAUUAGGAAUCAGAUUACAAAUAUGAUAUACUUAAAAUUAUACCUUGCCAUUGUGGCUCCAAUCCCAGGAUUGUUCUUUUUCUCUUUGCAACAAUGUACAACUCCUGGUACCAAAUCUAAAAUUCACGGUGUCCCUUUUGUAUUGCAGUGAACAAUUUACCGCAGUUCUAGCUAUAGAUUCUCCUAUGACUCACUUAUGAAAUGGAGAGGGGUGUUUUUAGAAGUCCUUCCUACUACCGUCUACGGAUGAAUUGUCAGUCACAACCUAGAAGUUCUUUUGCUCUUGCCACAAGAGCAGAUAUAGGCGUGCUGCACUCCAUGAACCCUGUGUUGCCCAAGAAGAGCCGGUAGUUCUCGACCUUUGACAGUGUUUGUUCUACCAUCAAUAGAGCUUCGUUCAUCCUGCAUUUCUUGAAGCAGUCUGCAUAGCAAGAAUUGCACUCCGUCAUGUAUAUGACUUGCUCAAGUAUCACCCUCCUGAUCCCGGGACAAUGAGCACUAGGUUUCUUAUUUGCAAUCAGUGCAUGGACAAGCCUCUUCACAAAUCUCUGGUUAAUGUGACCAUCGUCUAGUUCUCGGGUAAAGUCUCCAGGAAUUACUUUACAUAUCUGCGAACUAAGGCCAACAAGGAUCUCUAGUUCUACCCCUUCUGCGUCCAUUAUUCGUUCCAACACCUGUAGAGAAAUGUAUCAUGAUCAGUAAAAAUAUACUGUACAGCUACAUGUUCCUAGUUAAAAGAUCUCGAAAAAACACUGUACAGCUAUAUAGAUCAGUGGUAAAAAGUAUAGAAGCGCAGGUCAAAAUUUGACCAACAACUUCCGUGCGACAAGUCAACAAAAUGUGCAAAAUGGCAAAUUUGGUUUUACACAUCUAUAUUGCACUUGUUGCUUGAAUUAGCAGGGUUCACCUCUCGCAAGGUAUGAGAUAUUUCCUUCAGAUCUGAUUCUUUGAGUUCCGAUUGGGCAUGCAAGCACAGAUUACGCAACAGGCUUGCCGCCACAUACAUGUAGUUGUCAUCAUGGAUCAGGAUCAUGGUUUUGAGUUCCUUCAUGAACUCUGGUUCCUUCAAUAUAAUCGAGCAGGUGUGGACACUCUCUAUUGUCAGCAUUGCGAGUGCUUGCCCAGCGACCUUUCGUAGCAAGAGACCAACAUUGUUACUCAUGGUUCCUUCUGUAUCUAUAAAUGCCUGCAUCAGCUUGGCAAUGAUCAGUCGGAUGCGACCUAUCUCCUUCCUCGUGUUCCCGUCAACAGCAAGAUUUCUGAGGAUUGCUGCCACCAACUUUCUGAAUUCUGGACUGCUCGUGCCGUCUCCCAAGAUCUCCUUGAGGUUUUUCAGUAGGAAGGGAUCGUCUGCUAUCUCAUUCCGCAGUGUUAUUCCGAUUUUGCCACCAAUGCUUGUGAGCUGUUGCAGCACCUUUAGUGAUGACAGCAGCAGGACCUUUUGUUGUGCCUCGAUGAUCAUUGUAUGAUUUCUGUAGCUCGUGAAUUCUACAAUCUUUGGGAUGAGGUCAGCUGCUUUGCUGAUUUCUACACAGUUGUCCUGAUCACAGCCUGCAAGACUGACUAUAAUUGACAUGGCCAAUGCAGGUAGAAGGUCGUGGUUUGUCAGCGGCAGCUCCUUUGGAAUUGAGCAGAAUUCUGAAAUCCGCUGCAAGCAUCUUACCAUGGAGUUCUGUGUGUUGAUGCCAACUUGCUGGGUUGGGCUGGUUUCUGUUUGCAGCAAGUUAUCAGCGUCCUGUAGUUGAUCUUGUCUUUGCAGUUGGUUACGAGAUGCAUCCGUUGAGUCAUCCUCUUCCUUUUGGUUAUCUUCUGUACUCAGAAAUGGAUCCUGUCUAUCUUCUUGCUCAUCAUCUGUAUCCAGGAGUGGAUUUCCUCUUCUCGGAGUACUGUCAGCAUCAAGAAGUGCAGCUACAAGCUGCACUGCACCAGGGAAAGCAACAACACGCAGGUUCUUCGCGAGCUCACUGGUGACCUUUGCGGCAUAUAAUCUGAUAGUUGCAUCCUUUGGACUUGUCCAAUCCAACAUUCUGAUUAUUCUGGCCGUUGUCUUCGUACAAAUGGUGAGUUUUGAAAGGAGUUGUUCCUUGGUUGGCUCCGUUUGGAGAAAGCUGUUCAUCAUCUGAAACCCAUAGACCUGAUUCUUGGAUGAGUCUGAGUUCACAGAAUCCAUCGCAAAUGUGCUGAGGCUGGUCUUCUUCGGAGCAAGCACACCAUCUUGCAUGCAUUUCUCAAAGGCAUAUGCAUAGUAUAGAUUGAUAGAUUCCAGUCCCCAGUUACCUCUGAGUCCAGCAGAACGGACAAGAGAUCUCCGUGGGAUGAAGGAAAAGAACUCGACUGCGCAAGCCACACCGUAGAGUGUUCCUUGUCCUAGCACCAUCCCGUAGAAGAUAGUAAGAGAUGCCUUGAGGUUCUUAUCGUACUCAGUGUUGCUUUUAAUCGGAUCAAAGCGCAGCACUGGCAGCGCAACACGCAGCACUGCUGCUGGAACCUGGAAAUUGCCAAAUGACACCACCGCUAAGGCACACGCUAGGAUUGUGAUGGUAAAAGCCCUCUCAAUUGGAUCAAGCAUGCACAAAUGCGUUACGAGAGCACCAACCAUGCACAAGUACAGAAUAACCUGACGCCAGAAUACAUGUCUGCUGCCUAGAGCACUGUCCACUAGUUUGACGAUCCUUGAGAACCUUAGCCUGCUUAUUGAUACACACUGCCACAAGUAGUACUGUGAACACCAAGAAUCUGACGAAUGGUUUUUGGUGUUGAUCAUGACCAUAUAUGUAUCGCUGACCGCGGAAUGUUAGAGAGGGAGCUAGCAAUAUGAUUCCAACCACAGGGCUCCAUAACGACGUGGCACGGCGUAGUGGAUUACAUAUGUGUAGUUUGAGCCCAGACACAGACAGGAACCAGCCAAUUACAAGUGUAGUCAUCGCCAGAGUCCCCAAUAUCACCAAAUUAUCAAGUACCCUCAGGAGGAUCACCGAAACAUCAAAAAGGCAUACCAUGACAAUCAGUCCAGUCCAGCCUAUAGGUCUAAAAGCACCUCUGGUAUUGAAGAACAAUUGGUAUUCCAUUCUGUUUUUGCGGGUGAACAUCCUGAUCAAAAGUAUGCAAAAGGUGUAAUCAAAUGAAAUGGACAUCAUAUAUAAGUCAGAAAGAAGUAGCCAGGAGCAAUGAAAACUUGGUUUUCCCUUUUUGUAACUCGAUCUCUCACCCGCUAUGUGCAUAUAUAUUAAUUUGCAUACCAUGCAGGUUAAUUUCCAGGAAAAUACCUUGCGGCUUCAAGGUAUACUAUCGUUGUCGCAAACCAAAAGUCAUCUUCGGAGCCGAG